rnacentral:rRNA from 1 species
AUGAGCCCUGAGUGGGAAGAUAUGUUCCCCUUAGUUAUAGUGCGUAAACUUGUGAGAGAUGUCUCGGAUCACAACCCCUUGUUACUUUCCUCUGAUCCGGCCGAGAAAAAGCCCGUCCAAGGAAGGGAGUUCAGAUUUGAACUGAGCUGGUUAAAAAAUGAGGAGUUUUUUCAAAAAGCCAAAGAGAUCUGGGAGUAA